rnacentral:rRNA from 1 species
UACGAAGGGGGCUAGCGUUGUUCGGAUUUACUGGGCGUAAAGGGCGCGUAGGCGGUGCAAUAAGUCAGGCGUGAAAGCCCCGGGCUCAACCCGGGAAUUGCGCUUGAUACUGUUGCGCUUGAAUCCAGGAGAGGAUGGCGGAAUUCCCAGUGUAGAGGUGAAAUUCGUAGAUAUUCGCAAGAACACCAGUGGCGAAGGCGGCUCACUGGCCCGGUUCUGUCGCUGAGGUGCGAAAGCGUGGGGAGCAAACAGG